GAAGUUGUAAAUGUAGCAGGUUUGUCUUUGCAUUUAAUUUGCCAGAGAAGAUUAAUUGGUAGAGUUUGUGUACCCUCCUAAGCAGAGGGGGGCAGUAGUGCGUCUCAAAUGUUCAAAAUGAAUAGUAGAAGAAGAAAAAAGAGGAAGUGGUGGGAUCAUGCCAGAAAAAUGCACAGGUGUAUAAACUGGUGUAAUCAAAGAAGUUUGAAUGAACACAUGACACAUAAUCUAGGUAAGAAACACUUUUCCAUCUUCCAUUUCUCUUCAAACAUUUUCUUGCAUCUAAAGUUAAAAACACACAAUAACAAAACAGUUAAAGCAGAUUGAGAUGUGUUAACUCACCUGUAAACACACCUUGGUUUCUCUCAGUAGAUUAGAUGGUGAAACCUGAGCAAAACACAAACAAAUAAAGAAACAAGCUUCAGGCAAAGAGGUUGAUCACUGCUGUCUGCAGCUGCAUCACAUCACUUGACCAGAUAUUAGUCUGCUGUGACGUCGAAGCUUCCCAAAGUUUCACCACUCAGAUGCUGUUUGGGGAGAGAAACCUCAGUCACGUCAGCUCCGUGACAUCAAAGCGACCGUGACACCGCAGCAAACCGGCGAUGACGGAUGCCUUUUUGUCUUCUGCAGUCAGGCCGGAUCGUCUGGCCCGCAGACGACUGUAAUUGCACCGACAGGUGACACAUAUGUGGAAACCAGAAGAUGAUGUGGGAGACUACUUAAAUCAUGUGACCUGCACCUCACAUGCCUCCUCCGAGUACAGUGUCAGAAGUUGAGAGGAAUAUUCUGACACAUGAGAAAGAAAUCAGCACAUAAACGGGACUCGAGUCAAGGCAGGUUUUCCAGGUUGGACCCUGGUGCUGUGUCCCAGUUCAUCCUCAGGUGUUGAACAGGUUUGAAGGUCACACCAAACUGGAAAAACACACAACCUUUACUUUGUGCAUGGGAGAAUUAUUAUUAUCACAGUAUGAGACUAUUGUCAUCUUAGAUUUUGUAUAUUAUAAUAUCAUAAGUGGUUUCAAAGGCUUGUUAUAAUAAAAUUAUUCUUUCUUUCUGUACUUAUCUUAGCUGCUCUAUUUGGCAUGGCACUUAGUCAUUAUAUCCACAUUACUGGCGAUUAUUUAUCAGAAAUAAAUAAAUUCAUUAUCAAUAUUGACAUAUUUGGUCCAAAAUAUCUCCAUCUCUAAUUUUCUCCAUUUUGCCCAGCCCUAGUUCUGUUCUGUUGAACAGGAAAGGGACAAAUGUCUAAAUAAAACUGUUAACAUGUUUAGCAAGGCUGUCCACAAACCGUUUUGUGAUUUAUUCAAUUUAAUG